AUGACAACAUUGGAUGGCAUCAAGGCAGAAACAUUUGUUGGCCAACAAGACAAGAGCAAUGUUUUAGAUUCUGAAAUCCAGCAAAUACAAGGUGCUGCCACUAAUAGUCAAGUAGAAGCGUGUGCUUUUCCCACCCAGACAUCACACAUUGCAUCCAUAGAGGCAGAUCACGCAAAGACAAUUGGAAUGUUAGAAUCUGAUAUCGAAGAUGCCAGGAUGGCAACCAUCAUUAGAGAAGAGAUACAGAUGAUUGAACUAAGAGAGUUCAUUAACGAAAUAGAAAUACGGUUGCUUGGUAAUGAGAUGGGUACAAUGAGGAAAAGAGCUGCUCUAAAGCGGCAUCGACUCUACAAAAACAAAGUGGAAAAGCAAGACUCAUGUAUAUCUGACAAGGAGGAGUUUGAUAUGAUUGUCGGCAGGCUGGAGCAAGCUCUGCAGCAUGUGGAUUUACUUGGUGAUGAGGUUGAGGCCUUAAUGGAUCUUCUUGCAAAAAUUUAUAUUGCGCUGGACCACUAUUCUCCAGUUUUGUAA
rnacentral:rRNA from 1 species